GCAGUGCACGGCAGCACACAUCAGGAUGAUGCGCUCAGGGAUACCAGGAGGGUUAUGAGCGAUGGAAUGGAAAAGGGUCAGGGAUGCGGCCAGACAGGGAUAAGGAAUAGCUCAGGAGUUGAGCAGGCGCGGGAUUAACCGGGAUGUUACGAGCCGAAAAGGAUUUAAAACAUGAUUCCUUCUUAUGAAGGUAUGAAAUAAGGCGACAGCUUGAGCUGUCGCCUUUUUUCUUUGUCUACUU
rnacentral:sRNA from 1 species